UACGGAGGGUCCAAGCGUUAAUCGGAAUUACUGGGCGUAAAGCGCACGCAGGCGGUUUGUUAAGUCAGAUGUGAAAUCCCCGGGCUCAACCUGGGAACUGCAUCUGAUACUGACAAGCUUGAGUUGCGUAGAGGUGGGUAGAAUUUCCGGUGUAGCGGUGAAAUGCGUAGAGAUCUGGAGGAAUACCGGUGGCGAAGGCGGCCUCCUGGACGUAGACUGACGCUCAGGUGCGAAAGCGUGGGGAGCAAACAGG
rnacentral:rRNA from 1 species